rnacentral:rRNA from 1 species
AGUGAACGCUGGCGGUAGGCCUAACACAUGCAAGUCGAACGGCAGCACAGUAAGAGCUUGCUCUUACAGGUGGCGAGUGGCGGACGGGUGAGGAAUACAUCGGAAUCUACUUUUUCGUGGGGGAUAACGUAGGGAAACUUACGCUAAUACCGCAUACGACCUACGGGUGAAAGCAGGGGAUCUUCGGACCUUGCGCGAUUGAAUGAGCCGAUGUCGGAUUAGCUAGUUGGCGGGGUAAAGGCCCACCAAGGCGACGAUCCGUAGCUGGUCUGAGAGGAUGAUCAGCCACACUGGAACUGAGACACGGUCCAGACUCCUACGGGAGGCAGCAGUGGGGAAUAUUGGACAAUGGGCGCAAGCCUGAUCCAGCCAUACCGCGUGGGUGAAGAAGGCCUUCGGGUUGUAAAGCCCUUUUGUUGGGAAAGAAAAGCAGCAGGUUAAUACCCCGCUGUUCUGACGGUACCAAAAGAAUAAGCACCGGCUAACUUCGUG